GAUGCUCGAUGUUUAAACAUGAUGUUCCAGAUCUAGAAGAUCCUCCAGUUCAGUGGAUGUCCGUUUAAUAGGUGGGUCGACCAACCCAUGUGCCCCCGAUUCGCUAUGAUUAUUACGGGACUAUUGAGAACUAUUAACAAGCUACAAGUUAAGGUUAUAGCUCGUUGAAGAUGAAAUUAGAAAGAAGAAAACCAUUACUUGAUUUAUUAUUUUCGUUGUUGUAACUUCCACAAUGUUUGUUUGUAC
rnacentral:lncRNA from 1 species